rnacentral:rRNA from 1 species
UACGUAGGGUGCAAGCGUUGUCCGGAAUUAUUGGGCGUAAAGAGCUCGUAGGCGGCUUGUCACGUCGACUGUGAAAACCCGGGGCUCAACUCCGGGCCUGCAGUCGAUACGGGCUGGCUUGAGUGCGGUAGGGGAGACUGGAAUUCCUGGUGUAGCGGUGAAAUGCGCAGAUAUCAGGAGGAACACCGGUGGCGAAGGCGGGUCGCUGGGCCGUAACUGACGCUGAGGAGCGAAAGCGUGGGGAGCGAACAGG